ACCAGACUCCAGCUCAGUUGAUAGAGCAUGAGACUCGUAAUCUCAGGGUCGUGGGUUUGAGUCCCAUGUUGCGCAAAUGAUU